rnacentral:rRNA from 1 species
AUUGAACGCUGGCGGCAGGCCUAACACAUGCAAGUCGAGCGAGCGGCGGACGGGUGAGUAAUGUCUGGGAAACUGCCUGAUGGAGGGGGAUAACUACUGGAAACGGUAGCUAAUACCGCAUACCCUCAGAUGUGACCAGAGGGGAUUAGCUAGUAGGUGGGGGAACGGCUCACCUAGGCGACGAUCCCUAGCUGGUCUGAGAGGAUGACCAGCCAGACGGGAACUGAGACACGGUCCAGACUCCUACGGUGGGCAGCAGUGGGGAAUAUUGCACAAUGGGCGCAAGCCUGAUGCAGCCAUGCCGCGUGUGUGAAGAAGGCCUUCGGGUUGUAAAGCACUUUCAGCGGGGAGGCGUUACCCGCAGAAUAAGCACCGGCUAACUCCGUGCCAGCAGCCGCGGUAAUAC